rnacentral:snRNA from 1 species
AUCGCUUCUCGGCCUUUUGGCUAAGAUCAAGUGUAGUAUUUACACUAUACCUAUGCCAACAUUCUAUAUAUCAAACCUCAU